CAACGUAGGUAACCUGCCCAUGUGUCCGGGAUAACUGCUGGAAACGGUAGCUAAAACCGGAUAGGUGUACAGAGCGCAUGCUCAGUAUAUUAAAGCGCCCAUCAAGGCGUGAACAUGGAUGGACCUGCGGCGCAUUAGCUAGUUGGUGAGGUAACGGCCCACCAAGGCGAUGAUGCGUAGCCGGCCUGAGAGGGUAAACGGCCACAUUGGGACUGAGACACGGCCCAA
rnacentral:rRNA from 1 species